UCGAACGCGAAAGCUCCCUUCGGGGAGCAAGUAGAGUGGCGCACGGGUGAGUAACACGUAGGUAAUCUACCUUUGGAUGGGGAAUAACAACCGGAAACGGUUGCUAAUACCGCAUAAUGCAGCGGCACCUAAUGGUGACAGUUGUUAAAGCGGGGGAUCGCAAGACCUCGCGUCUGAAGAGGAGCCUGCGGCAGAUUAGCUAGUUGGUAAGGUAACGGCUUACCAAGGCGAUGAUCUGUAGCCGGCCUGAGAGGGCGGUCGGCCACACUGACACUGACAUACGGGUCAGACUCCUACGGGAGGCAGCAGUCGGGAAUUUUGGGCAAUGGGCGAAAGCCUGACCCAGCAACGCCGCGUGAAGGACGAAAUCCCUCGGGAUGUAAACUUCGCAAGAACGGGAAGAAUAAGUAAGGGUUAAUAUCUCUUACGAUGACGGUACUGUUUGUAAGCUCCGGCUAACUCCGUGCCAGCAGCCGCGGUAAUACGGGGGGAGCAAGCGUUG
rnacentral:rRNA from 1 species